rnacentral:rRNA from 1 species
GAUGAACGCUAGCUACAGGCUUAACACAUGCAAGUCGCAGGACUGGCGCACGGGUGAGUAACGCGUAUCCAACCUUACCAUAACUACGGGAUAACCCGAUGAAAGACGGCCUAAUACCGUAAGGUUAUGGAUGGGGAUGCGUCUGAUUAGCUUGUGGGCGGGGUAACGGCCCACCAAGGCGACGAUCAGUAGGGGUGCUGAGAGGAAGGUCCCCCACAUUGGAACUGGGCCACGGUCCAGACUCCUACGCGCGGAAGCAGAAAGGAAUAUUGGGCAGUGGGCGAGAGCCUGAGCCAGCCAAGUAGCGUGCAGGAUGGCGGCCUAUGGGUUGUAAACUGCUUUUAUGUGGGGAUAGGUACCACAUGAAUAAGUACCGGCUAAUUCCGUGCCAGCAGCCGCGGUAAUAC